ACCCGGGAAACUGGGGCUAAUACCAGAUAGGCGAGGACGCCUGGAAUGGUUCUUCACCCAAAGGACUUUGGAAGCAUGCUUUCAAAGUCGCCUGGGGAUGGGGCCGCGUCCGAUCAGGUUGUUGGUGAGGUAACGGCUCACCAAGCCUAUAACCGGUACGGGCCGUGAGAGCGGUAGCCUGGAGAUGGGCACUGAGACAAGGGCCCAUGCCCUACGGGGCGCAGCAGUCGCGAAAACUCCGCAAUGCACGAAAGUGUGACGGGGCUACCCCGAGUGCCGUCCGCUGAGGAUGGCUUUUCCUCAGUGUAACUAGCCGGGGGAAUAAGGAGAGGGCAAGACUGGUGUCAGCCGUCGUGGUAAUACCAGCUCUCCGAGUAGUAGGGACGAUUAUUGGGCUUAAAGCGUCCGUAGCUGGCU
rnacentral:rRNA from 1 species